AAUUAGGAGACAUACUACAAGGGAAAGAUGAAUGUGUAGAAACAUUCUUCACCAGACUACAGAUGGCUUGGGAGGCAUUGGGUUACACUGAUGUUGUAACCACUUCCACCAGACUGCUUAUUAACUGCUUCAUGGAUGGUAUCCACAUCCCAUAAGGACUGGUCUCCAAAAUGCUAGACCUGAGUGGAGAAGUUUAACCUAUGGUGAUCUGGUGAAGGUGGCUAGGGGAGUGGAAGCUAAUCUAAAUACUAGAAAGAGG